rnacentral:rRNA from 1 species
GAGCUUGCUCAGAUAUGACGAUGGACAUUGCAAAGAGUGGCGAACGGGUGAGUAACACGUGGGAAACCUACCUCUUAGCAGGGGAUAACAUUUGGAAACAGAUGCUAAUACCGUAUAACAAUAGCAACCGCAUGGUUGCUACUUAAAAGAUGGUUCUGCUAUCACUAAGAGAUGGUCCCGCGGUGCAUUAGUUAGUUGGUGAGGUAAUGGCUCACCAAGACGAUGAUGCAUAGCCGAGUUGAGAGACUGAUCGGCCACAAUGGGACUGAGACACGGCCCAUACUCCUACGGGAGGCAGCAGUAGGGAAUCUUCCACAAUGGGCGAAAGCCUGAUGGAGCAACGCCGCGUGUGUGAUGAAGGGUUUCGGCUCGUAAAACACUGUUGUAAGAGAAGAAUGACAUUGAGAGUAACUGUUCAAUGUGUGACGGUAUCUUACCAGAAAGGAACGGCUAAAUACGUGCCAGCAGCCGCGGUAAUACGUAUGUUCCAAGCGUUAUCCGGAUUUAUUGGGCGUAAAGCGAGCGCAGACGGUUAUUUAAGUCUGAAGUGAAAGCCCUCAGCUCAACUGAGGAAUUGCUUUGGAAACUGGAUGACUUGAGUGCAGUAGAGGAAAGUGGAACUCCAUGUGUAGCGGUGAAAUGCGUAGAUAUAUGGAAGAACACCAGUGGCGAAGGCGGCUUUCUGGACUGUAACUGACG